AGCCUCAGGGCAGAGCUCCUGGAAGCCCUUCCCACCAUGGACUGGGCUCCCUUCUACUUUCUGUCCCUGGUUUUCUCCACAGGUCUCUGUGCUGUGCCUGUGCUGACCCAGCCCCCGUCUGCUUCUGCCUCCCCGGGAGCCUCGGCCAAGCUCACCUGCACCCUCAGCAGCGAACACAGCAGCUACUACAUUGAAUGGCAUCAGCAGCAUCCAGGGAAGGCCCCUCGGUAUGUGAUGCAGCUUAAGAGUGACGGAAGCCCUGAUCGCUUCUCAAAAUUCAGCUCUGGGACCAACCACUACUUGAUCAUCUCCAACCUCCAGUCUGAGGACGAGGCUGAGUAUAUCUGCUCUGUAAGCUAUAGUACUGGUGACCAAACUGGUUAA